UAGGGAAUAUUGCUCAAUGGGGCGAAAGCCUGAAGCAGCAACGCCGCGUGGAGGAUGACACUUUUCGGAGCGUAAACUCCUUUUCUUAGGGAAGAAAUUUGACGGUACCUAAGGAAUAAGCACCGGCUAACUCCGUGCCAGCAGCCGCGGUAAUACGGAGGGUGCAAGCGUUACUCGGAAUCACUGGGCGUAAAGGACGCGUAGGCGGAUUAUCAAGUCUUUUGUGAAAUCUAAUGGCUUAACCAUUAAACUGCUUGAGAAACUGAUAAUCUAGAGU
rnacentral:rRNA from 1 species